GGGGGAAUAAUUUAAUUGGUAAAAUAUCAAUCUUCAAAAUUGAUUUUAAGGGUUCAAAUCCUUUUUCCCCUG